AAUGUGUUCGGGGGUUCUGAAUCGGCCGUACCCCUUUAUAUUUAUAGGGGAGGAGGUAUGGACCUGUUCCUAGGAGAUAGCCAACAACUCCCACGUUAUUAGAUGGAUAACCACGCACGAGAUAAGGAUAAUCACCUGAGUUUAUCUGACCGCGAACCAUUCGGGCCCUAGGGCCGGACCGUCCGCCACUUUUGGUGCUCAACACAUGCCCCCUGCCUUUUGGUGGAGCUUGGCGAACCAAAAGCACUAGUGAAAACUUCAGAAACAAUUGACCUCAUGAGUUAUUUUGUUCCCGAAGUAAGGACUCAGCUCGAUGCAAGUCAUCGGCUCUUGCGAUCAGAUAAUAUAAAUACUUGAUAGAACUUUAUUGCACAGAGACCGUUUCAGAUUGCAUCCUCUUUGGCCAUGUCUGCCUGAUCAACCUAUCAAUAGGCAAAAACCUUCAGAAACUGGGACAUGUGACUUUUUCGGCUCUUGGGGCUUGGGUUGACGGCUAUAUUUAUGCCGGCCUUCCACACUAGGCGGAUCACAGGUGAUUUCUUGUGCUCCGGACGGUCCGACCUGUGCAGUCCGACGGUCCGCAAGUGGAUCGGAUGGUCCGGUACUAUUCCCAGACUGUUCGGUCGUGUCGGGCAACACCUGCGACCCUUGUGGUGGGCUCUGUAUAACUCCGGACGGUUCGGCCUAGGGUGCCGGACGGUCUGACGAAGGGCCAGACUGUUCGAGAUCGUGUGCGGACAGUCCGACCGUGCUCAGAGUUGACACACCAUUUAGCGGAGAUGGCGGUGACGGUCGUCCUGGAUAUGAGUCCAUCGGCAUACCAGAAUAUGGAUGGGGAAACCUAUUUGUUGUCGAUGUGUUUGGCGCAAUUGUUUCGACGCCUAAUUUAUGUGAUAAAGAAUUAGGCAUGUGAGUUUUCCCUAAUGCAUGCCCCAUCCUUUCUAUAUCCUCUAUGAUACUUUUAAUCCGAUUAUCAAAAGAAAUUUUAAUAGAUGGAAUAUCAUCGACUGACCUAGCAUCACCUAUCGUGGGAGCUGUUGUAGCACGACUGAUAUGUACUCGACGUUUAUCUCCCUCUCUUGGACGGUCUUCUGGUGGCAAUAUACCCUGAAGUGCGAGAAGAACCACUUCUCCGCCACCUUGAGCACCUGACCUUGUUGUCGUUGGACCUCUUUGUCUAUUUUCUUCAUGUCAUCUUCUAAUCUUUUAUGCUCCGUGGCCGACAAAUUAGUCAGCCUUGUGUCGCUGUUUGGAGAAGCACUGUUGAGAUCUUUAGAAACGACCAUAUAAACCUGAUUUUGUGGAUCUACAACCUUGUUCCCCAGCGGAGUCGCCAAAAAGUGAGUCGGCGUCGAUCUAGACGCCAAACACUAGAAAGGACCGCCUGGCGGUGCUCUCUGCGGAGGCGUGUACGGUCCGUGGCACAGGAUCGGACGGUCCGCGACCUGGCGCAUGAGUGACUCCUCCUCUGCGUACGUUCGGACGGUCCGCGAUGGUGCAAGGGUCUUCUCGCCUGAGGGGUAAAAUCCUAGGGUUGUCUUGGGGUCGGCAGACCACCCAAGACGGAUCUAGACGACGUAGAGUCGAAUAGGGGUGGAGGUGGAUAUGCGGAAGGCUACAAACUAGAACUACGCUACAUCUACUCCUAGGGCAAUAAAGGUAAAUAACGUAGAUAGAUUCGAUUGGAAUGUGUUUGGGGGUUCUGAAUCGGCCGUACCCCUUUAUAUUUAUAGGGGAGGAGGUCUGGACCUGUUCCUAGGAGAUAGCCAACAACUCCCAUGUGAUUAGAUGGAUAACCACGCACGAGAUAAGGUUAAUCACCUGAGUUGAUCUGAUCGCAGGGCCGCGGACCGUCCAGGCCUUAGGGCCGGACCGUUCGUCACUUUUGGUGCUCAAUAAUGAGAUCAACCUAGGACAUACAGGAGGACUGGUGGACACGUUGGUAUGGGUGCCUAUGCAAAUUAUAAGUGAUCGUGAGAUGGACACACCACAUAUCCUGGAGUCCUGUGUAACUGUUUGAUCUUGGUUGAUAUUGUGAUCCGAGAAUAUUGCCUAGAGUGAGCAUGACAUUUUGUAAUGGGGACGAGGCACACAAAUUUUAUAAACAAUACAUCUAAGAAGUUGGUUUUCUAUCGAAAAUAUACAUGAAGAAGUCAUACUGCAAGUGGUUGAAAUGUUCAAGGGAAGUCAAAUGUGCAACAAGGGCUGAUGAUAACCCAAGGGUCCACAAUAAAACCACAGGACAUACGCAAUGCAAGGCAAGGUUAGGAUGAAGGUGAAAAAGAUUUAUGAUGACAACAAGAAGAAUAACAUAGUUGUUGCUGAUUGAUCUGGUGCACCUAGAACAUAAACACGAGUUCAUUACGCAAGAAACAGAGAAACAACACCUUCAUUGCAACAAGAAUUGUAAUCUAAAGUUCAUGAAGUUUGUGGGUACAAUGCAUGAUAGCAGGGUACCACAACACUGCAUUGUAGACAUGAUUUAAGACAGUCAUAAUGGGCCUAAGAAUGUUCCAGUAAUGGUGCAAGACCCGAAGAACAUGAGGGCAACGAGGCGACGACCGAAGAGAGAAAAAUGCUAAUGAUGUGUCUAAGCUUCUAACAUUUUUUAGAACAUACAAAAAAAUCUAUAAUUCUUUUGUGAUUUCUAGUUGGAUGAGGAGAGGAGAUAUUUAUUUAUUUAGUAUCUUUUGGUUACAUGCUAGUAUGCAAGGGGAGUACAUUGGUUUCAGAGGUGUUGUCACUUUUGAUACAACUCAUAAAACUAAUCUAUAUGAUAAAUCACUUGAUA